rnacentral:rRNA from 1 species
ACGGAAGGCAGCAGCUAAGAAUAUUCCGCAAUGGACGAAAGUCUGACAGAGCGACGCCGCGUGGAUGAUGAAGGUCGGAAGAUUGUAAAAUCCUUUUAUGACUGAGGAAUAAGCAGUGUGAGAGAAACGCAUUGUGGUGACUGUAGGUCAUGAAUAAGCAACGGCUAAUUACGUGCCAGCAGCCGCGGUAACACGUAAGUUGCGAGCGUUGUUCGGAAUUAUUGGGCGUAAAGGGCAUGUAGGCGGUUUUGCAAGCUUGGUGUGAAAUCUCGGAGCUCAACUCCGAAAUUGCGUUGAGAACUGCAUAACUAGAGUCACUGAGGGGCAAUCAGAAUUCCAGGUGUAGGGGUGAAAUCUGUAGAUAUCUGGAAGAAUACCAAUGGCGAAGGCAGGUUACCAGCAGAUGACUGACGCUGAGGUGCGAAGGUGCGGGGAGCAAACAGGAUUAGAUACCCUGGUA